CCUACGGGGGGCUGCAGUCGAGAAUCAUUCACAAUGGGGGAAACCCUGAUGGUGCGACGCCGCGUGGGGGAAUGAAGGUCUUCGGAUUGUAAACCCCUGUCAUGUGGGAGCAAAUUAAAAAGAUAGUACCACAAGAGGAAGAGACGGCUAACUCUGUGCCAGCAGCCGCGGUAAUACAGAGGUCUCAAGCGUUGUUCGGAAUCACUGGGCGUAAAGCGUGCGUAGGCUGUUUCGUAAGUCGUGGGUGAAAGGCGCGGGCUCAACCCGCGGACGGCACAUGAUACUGCGAGACUAGAGUAAGGGAGGGGGAACCGGAAUUCUCGGUGUAGCAGUGAAAUGCGUAGAUAUCGAGAGGAACACUCGUGGCGAAGGCGGGUUCCUGGACAUUAACUGACGCUGAGGCACGAAGGCCAGGGGAGCGAAAGGGAUUAGAUACCCCGGUAGUC
rnacentral:rRNA from 1 species